rnacentral:SRP_RNA from 1 species
AAGGUGCUGAAGUGGGUGGACGAGGACGGAGAUGCCGCAGGCCAGACGUUCUGCGACGCCGGCUGCGGCGUGGGAUCGCUGGCCAUUCCCCUGGCUCAGCGCGGCGCCGAGGUCAGCGCCAGCGACAU